GAGUUUGAUCAUGGCUCAGAAUGAACGCUGGCGGCAGGCCUAACACAUGCAAGUCGAACGGAGUUAUAUUGUAGCUUGCUAUGGUAUAACUUAGUGGCAGACGGGUGAGUAAUGUAUAGGAAUCUACCUAGUAGUACGGAAUAAUUGUUGGAAACGGCAACUAAUACCGUAUACGCCCUACGGGGGAAAAAUUUAUUGCUAUUAGAUGAGCCUAUAUUAGAUUAGUUAGUUGGUGAGGUAAAGGCUUACCAAGACAAUGAUCUAUAGCUGAUCUGAGAGGAUGAUCAGCCACACUGGAACUGAGAUACGGUCCAGACUCCUACGGGAGGCAGCAGUGGGGAAUAUUGGACAAUGGGCGAAAGCCUGAUCCAGCCAUGCCGCAUGAGUGAAGAAGGCCUUCGGGUUGUAAAGCUCUUUUAGUGAGGAAGAUAAUGACGGUACUCACAGAAGAAGUCCUGGCUAACUCCGUGCCAGCAGCCGCGGUAAUACGGAGAGGGCUAGCGUUAUUCGGAAUCAUUGGGCGUAAAGGGCGCGUAGGCGGGUUAGUAAGUUAAAAGUGAAAUCCCAAGGCUCAACCUUGGAACUGCUUUUAAAACUGCUAGUCUAGAGAUUGAAAGAGGAUAGAGGAAUUCCUAGUGUAGAGAUGAAAUUCGUAAAUAUUAGGAGGAACACCAGUGGCGAAAGGCGUCUAUCUGGUUCAAAUCUGACGCUGAGGCGCGAAGGCGUGGGGAGCAAACA
rnacentral:rRNA from 2 species